UCUCCCACCUAAAUUACUAUUCAUAUUCUUCCCCAAAUUGCACAAAUAGGGAAAAAUCUCUCCCAGAUCAGAAUUUCCGUCGACCAGCCAUCCCACCAGCGCCGCCUCUGCCUCCGGUGCCGCCAUCAUGCCACCACCACCUCCGUCUGUCCCUUCUCCUUUCUCUUCUCUCCCUCGGCUAUGCUCACGCCGCCGCCGCUGCGGAUCCCCCGUCGUCGCGGGUCCGCCUCCCCCCAGCCGCCGACGCCACAUCUGAGACCCCUUCCCCUGCCGUGCGUAGCUUUCCGACAGAUUCGUCAAGAUUUCGAAUUCAUUGAGAGUCAUAGGGGCGUGGGGCUGCCCUCGUCGUCUCCGGGCGGCCGAGCUCGCUGCCGGAAUCCGACAGAUUCAUAGAGAUAAGUUUUUUUUCCUUCUUUCUAGUUAUUAAGGCAGUGGGAUUCUAUUUUAUUUCUAUUUACUGAAUUUGGUGAAUUAUGAGUAGUAUAUGCCUUGCUAUAUGGAAGAUUAAAUGGUGAAAAUAAAUUAUGUUGUUAAACUUGUGGUAGCAGAUUCUAUUUCCAAAUAAAAAUAUACAUAUGCUUGUAUAUAUAUGACUAUGAAAGAAAAGGGAGGUUGGGGUUUACCUUAUUGAUAUGAGAACAAAGUGUUGUUGGAUUGUGGAGUAUGAUCCUAUAAUCAUCUGCAAGACUCCCCCGUCUCUGAUUCUUGUUCUCCCUUUCGAUUUGUUGGUGUGUGCAGAGAGAAUAGAUGGUGUGAUUGUGAUGUGGGGGUGAAGAAAACGAUUGUCUAUAUGUAUAAAAGAUGGCGGUGAAAGUGGCGUGGGUAGGAAGUUGGUUGUGGCAAGUUGCUUGCCAGAUUCCUAUCUCAAAUCUCUUUUGCCAGAGGAGGGGAUAAGAUUUGCCUAAUCUAAUUAAACGCAUCAUUGAAUGUUGGGUUAAAAAACGAUUCUCCCCUCCCCCUCUCUCUUUUUCUUUUUAUUUUAUUUUAUUUAUUUAUUAAAGUAACUAUUUAAGUAUUUAUUCACUUGUUCAUUUAAUUUGGUGUAGGUAUGAUCGGUUCAAGUUUGUGGUUGUCCGCAUUGAAGUUCCCGAUUUUUACUAGAACGCAGGAUGUAUAGAUUAAAUUUUGUUGGACUUUUGUUGGAUGUAACGGACAUCAAAAUUUUGAUUUUGGGAUCUUAUUUAUUUAUUUAUUUAUUUAAAUUUAUUAUUUUCA